GGGAUAAACCAAUACUACUUGCUUGGGGAUUAUCAGACAAGUACUUGCCCCAGUAUGUGGCAGAGCAGUUUCAGAAAGGAAAUCCAGCACAAAUCCAGCUUAAAUUGAUAGAAGGAGCUGGUCAUAUGCCACAAGAGGACUGGCCUGAGAAAGUUGUUGAUGCUUUCAGAAUGUUCUUCUGAUUUCAACAACUAAUUGACCCUGUAGGCAUCCAAGUGCUUUAUUUCAUUGGAAGGGCAUUCUUGAGUUUUUCCUUAAUUAAAUUGUAAAUUUAGUAUGCCUUAAUUUUUCUUUUC